rnacentral:rRNA from 1 species
UACGUAGGUGGCAAGCGUUAUCCGGAAUUAUUGGGCGUAAAGCGCGCGCAGGCGGUUUCUUAAGUCUGAUGUGAAAGCCCACGGCUCAACCGUGGAGGGUCAUUGGAAACUGGGGAACUUGAGUGCAGAAGAGAAAAGCGGAAUUCCACGUGUAGCGGUGAAAUGCGUAGAUAUCAGGAGGAAUACCUAUGGCGAAAGCAGGUAUCUGGGCCAUCACUGACGCCGAGCUGCGAAAGCUAGGGGAGCAAACAGG